rnacentral:rRNA from 1 species
GUCCUAGCUGUAAACGGUGCACGUUUGCUGUAAGAGGAAUCGACCCCUUUUGUGGCGAAGCUAACGCGAUAAACGUGCCGCCUGGGGAGUACGGUCGCAAGAUUAAAACUCAAAGAAAUUGACGGGGGCCUGCACAAGCGGUGGAGUAUGUGGCUUAAUUCGAUGCAACGCGAAGAACCUUACCUGGCCUUGACAUGCACGUAGUAGGAGCCUGAAAGGGUAACGACCCCGCAAGGGGAGCGUGCACAGGUGCUGCAUGGCUGUCGU